GGCCUCGUAGCUCAGCUGGAUAGAGCAACUCUUUCCUAAAGAGUAGGCCGCAAGUUCGAGUCUUGCCGAGGUCG
rnacentral:tRNA from 2 species